UGAAGUUUACGUGAAAUUGAGAGGCAAUUACGAGCGGCGACAAUCCGGCGGAAAUUAGGGCAGCAGUUCGGAGAAGGCAAAUCCGGCGGUAGCAGUUCGAACAUCAACUACUCCGGACCACUUCUGGAGGCGAUAAACGAAGGAGCGAUCUCCGUUCGAAGUCCGAUCGGCGAGCAGAAUUCCUUUGGCGGCAAAAGAAUUCUCUUCCGGCGGCGGCAGUUCAACCAGCGGCAGUUUGGCGUCUGCAUCUUGUUUACCGGAUUUGCUGCUGCGUUUUCUUUUGGCUGAUUCGAUGAGGGUUUUAAGUUUGUGCAGAGUGAUUUGACUUCACCUCACUCUACUCUCACUUUGCUUAAAAAUUAGCAAGUUGUUGCAUCUUCUGAGGAUGGUAUGCCUUGGGAUCAGAUGAGUUGAGUAAGGUUCUCAAUUCCUCAAUUUCUUAUUUGAAAACAAAAUGACGUGUGGGAUGUAGCUAUGGAAAGGCGGGACAAGGAGCUCAUGGAGACUCUCUCUGCUCCUUCCUCCGAUUAGCUUCCAUCUUCACUCUGGGAGACACUUCAUGUUUCAUAUGAUAGAUGGAAAAAUCUUGAAGUACAUUGUAAUAAUGACCAAAGUAUCCACCAUUCACCUCUCUCUAAGAGCGACAUCACAAAGUCUGAAGUAUUUUCUUUUUUGAAAUAGUAAUUCUCAUGUUUCUGUCAUCUUCUAGGCAUGUUGAUACUUACAAAAGAAAGUAUGCUGAACAUGUAAGUGUUGUAUUGUGUAUCAUUUUUGUAUCUCAGUCAAUUAUUAAAUGUUUCUUUGAUGUUAAAAUACUAAUUUAAGGAACUUUUUUUCA